rnacentral:rRNA from 1 species
GACAGGAGGUGCAAACGUUGUUCGGAAUUACUGGGCGUAAAGCGCGUGUAGGCGGCCCUGCAAGUCGGGUGUGAAACUCCCACGGCUCAACCGUGGAAGUGCACUCGAAACUGCAGGGCUAGAGUCCUGGAGAGGAAGGUGGAAUGCGUUGGUGUAGAGGUGAAAUUCGUAGAUAUCAAGCGGGAACACCGGUGGCGAAGGCG